CCCCUACCUCGCUCUCUCCGCACGAACCUCUGUCUCUCGCGACUCCUCUCUCCCCCACGAGCCUCUCUCCCUCGCCGCCGCCACCACCCACGCCGCCCAGUUCCGGCGAGCUCCGGCGGCGCGCAGCACGCCCCCGAGCUCCCCUAGGUCCGCUCCACCUCCCCCUCCGUCCAGAAUCGGCGCUCCCGCCCUCCACUGUCCCCGUGGCUAGCUAGGGUUUCGGCCGCCACCCCCAACAUCGCCAGGAUCAGCCACAUCCGGCGACGGCGAGGCCAGAGCUCGACGAAUCCAUUACCGGUGUGUUGCAGGUCACCUUGGCGCGGUCUGGACGACGACGACGGCAGGAGGGCGUCGUCCUUCCUACUGGCGCACCUAGCUGGCGGCCCUGUCCUGCUCGAGGAGGCGGGCUGUCUAGCUCAAGCACGGCCACGACGACCCACCUCGGCAGGUAGGUACCGCUGAUGUACUGGAGCCUUGAUCUUAAUUUUUCUUCAUUGAUGUCCUUGGAGAAGAUGGCCAUUGGAGUGUAGGGGAGGAACAACCUUGUCUUGCUCGAGGAGGAGGACCACCCGAUCUCGACGACGGCAUGGCAACAGCCUUGUCUCCCCCACCACCGCCCCUCGACCUCCUCUCAUGCUGCUGUGGAGUCUUAGAAUGGGAAUGUUAUGUACAUAAAAAAUAUUCUAUGGUCUGUGUUUGCAAAUCCAUGGUUGUUGAAUCAUGUCUGUAUAAGCAUUUGUAAAUAGCUAGCCUUUUUGGCUAA